rnacentral:lncRNA from 1 species
CUCUGAUCACGGACAUUCCUUGGAAACGAUCAUAUUGACAGACAAGAAAUGUCAACCGAGACACUAUCUUGGAAGGCUUAACAAGGAAUACUAAUGGAAGCAUGUUUGAUGUUCCUCCAAAAGUACACUUCAAAAACUCCCAAAAAGAUGAAUAAAUCCUAAACGGGCUUUGCUACAUGUAGAUUGAGGGUUACAUCAAGGUUACAUAAUGGACGAGUGGCAUUAUGUAAUUGGUUCAUGAAAAUUGUUUAAUUUCCACCAAUAAAUUGCAUAAUGCCACUUGUACAUUAUGUAACCCUUGAUGUAACAUUUGAUGUCCAAAUAGAAUAAUCCUAAAUUAAACCAUCCUCUUUGAAAACUUAUUUAUGAGAAUUCGAGAUGAACUAUUCCUCUUCUAAUAACACAUCAUCAUGAACUGUUUAUAGAUAUACUGUCUAAGUUUCUUUUAUUUUGUUAUUAUCAUUAAACAACUCCUGUCUAAGUUUCUUUUAUUUUGUUAUUAUCAUUAAACAACUCCAAGCACCAUGCAGAUAGUAUUUUAACAAAUAUAAUGCAUCCAACGUCAAAGCAAUUCAUAAUACAUACCUGCCUUGAGUUUCAUAUAAUUUACCAAAAAAUAUAGAGUUAACAUACGGAAAUCAAAGAUACAAAACUCAAUGCAGAAAGGCGUCCAUAAAAUACUUUCACAAAGCUUUCUGAUCACGUUAAUGAAUUCAUAUUAGGAUCUGCUGCCCUAAACUUGCAUUUGAAAUAAGUUAUCAAUUUUACAUUUUUAAAUGCGUGCAAAGUAGUCGUCCACAGAAGAAUGAAACAAGCUUUAUACCCUUUUACGCAAACAGCUAGGGUCUAUUGGAUUCUAAAUCUUACAAAUGAAACUUCCAACAGAAAGAAUGAAAAUGCAGUUAUGAACAAAACACGUGAUAAUGGCAUUCUAAUUUGUGGAAGAGAUGAGAUAUUUUUAGGUUAUUAGAAUUUACCGAGGUUAGUUCUAGAAAUAUUGCAGUAAACAUGUUAUCGUGUCUUAAGAUUGUAAUUCAUGCGAUUUUAAGUUGUCUACUUCAACAUAUCAUAAUACAACGAUUAUGCAUAUCAAUCGAAUCACUAAACAGUUUUUUAAUGAAGUAAUUUUAAAAAUCCCACCCCAAUUGACUUCACGAUGUCUUCUUAAGACAGUUUUGCUCCCUCUAAUGGUCAAGGUUACGAGCAACUGUCUCCCUGGAUAGAAUGGUUUUCGCGCCUACGGAGGCGUCACCUCAUUGCAUACGAACUAGUUAGAUAGAACUUCUGACUUUAACACCGAAUUUUUAUAUGAACAUUGGAGGGAUUUGUUUACAAGAAAGAGAUAUAUAUUUGGGAAAAUAUAGAGGGAAUAGGAGGUUUGAAAGUGUAAAACUUGCCUUAUGAAUGACAAUAUAAAUAGCCUUUUGGAUGUGGUCAUCCACCCAAGGGAUAUAGCCAUUCGCAAAGGUUGUAACUUUGAAUAAAUGAUGGAACUGUUUCGUGAAAAAAAAAAGGUACACAGUUUAUAGAAGAAGGGAUACAACUCCUGACAAAUUAUCUUUUAAAUCAAACGCUGCGACCAUUGCCCAAAUAAUUCAACAGAUACAGAGCCUUCCAAUUCUAAAGACAACAAUUACUAUUAUUCUCCUUCUUUAUCCCCGACCGCUACCAUUCAUUCUUAUAAUACUACAACAAAAAAAUUCAAGAAAAAAGACGUAAUAAUUCUGGGGAAAAAAAGGUUCCUCAAUUAAACAUGGUUGAUAUCUUAAAUAGCAAAAUGUUAAAAUAGCAGCUAAUGAGUUCUAUUGGUUUGGUUUUCUGGUCGAUUUGUGAUCCAUAGAAGAAAAGGAAUUUACGAAAUUAUAUUUUCGGGUGUAAUUACAAAGGGUUAAAGGAAGGGAAAUGGAAGUAUUAAAGAAAAUGUAAUGGGUAUUUCUUCACACACUACAACAUACAUACAGAAAUAACAACUGAAUUUUCUUCUUCUGCUGAUCCUGAUUAGUAAUCUUUUCACUAUUAGAACCCCAACUUGAAAUUAAUUUAUACAUGGGGACUGAACUAAUUAUAUUAAUUUAAGGCAAAAACCUGUUGAUGAGAUCUUCUCUUCGCCUGCAGCUUGGCUCAGACUCAGCUCCGGAACGAUUGGCAGGGGCGGAGGAGGAGGAAGACCCGGCCUCUGGCAAGCCGCCGCACUUCUGACACCGUGACAUCACCAAAAUUUUGCGGCAAGAGGGGCAGGAGGAGUGAGAUUCAAGCCACGUGUCAAUGCAAGCAACGUGGAAUCCAUGGUCGCACGGAGGAAGCAUUCGAACCUCGUCUCCGGCGGCGAACUCCGACAAACAAAUUGCGCAGUCGGAUAACUUCCCGCUCUUGUCAUCG